UAGAAGUGCAAAAGAUAGGACGCAAAAGC
rnacentral:piRNA from 1 species